rnacentral:misc_RNA from 1 species
UGAGAGAUCACGUCACCUUCAAAGUCUAAGGGGAGUCUGUGUGCGCGUGUGGGGGGUGAGAGUGAGUGGUCUCGUGGUCUGUCUGUGUGUGCGUGUGUGUGCACGAUCGCGUGGAUGCGUUUUCCUUGUGUUCCCCUUUCCUUUCGCGCAGAGGAGCGGCACACGUCAUUGGUGAAGGCAACAAGACGAGUAGAGCGAGAGAGACGCACACGCAACCGUGAGAGUCGAAUCCGCGCUUCGGUACUGCUGUGGCGUUCUGUUUUUGUUUUCUCUCUCUCUCUGUGUUCAGUCUAUCAGCUCUUAGUCAUCGGCACUGGAAGACUCGCGUGCCUGCGACACACUUACGCAUGGAGACACGGGCGCAGAAACGCACAGCCCCAUCCACAAUACUUCUCCCGAGUCCCCCUUCUUCAUCUCGACAGACGCACCUAAGCGUCUCCCUCCUUCCUUCUUUUUUAGUCUGUUGCUUCGCUUGACGGAAAUGAACGGCAAAGACGGGAAUUCUCUGCCUUCAAGAGUUGCAGCGACAGCAUCCGGCUCCUUCAGCAUCACUUCCCUUACAGACGACUCGUCGCGCACGUUGGCAACGCGGCAAGAUGCACGACGGCGCAGUUUCCUCGACCUGGACGAUGACGUCUUCAAUUACGUCUGCUCCUACGUGCCGGUCAAUGACCUUCUGCGCAACGUGGCCGUCGCGAGCCACGACACGCGGCGCCGCGUUUCAGCGAACCACGCUCUCUGGCAGCAGCUCUGGAUGCGAUACCUGCUAUUCUUUUUCAACGCCUUGAUUCCAGCCACAGCGGCAGCCGCCGACUGGGCGUCGUCGCCGGCGGCACCGACUCGUGGACGAUGGGGAGUGGCGCCGCCGGACGCGAUGGGCAUGCUUCACACCACCGCUACAACGCCACCCAGUCAUGACAGCGUCUGGCACCUCUAUCACUUUCACCACUCGGCAGAGGCGAAGCCGCACGUGGUGCAGCUCGAGAAGCUGCACAUUGUGCGCGAAGACAUCGCCGACCCGGCAGCCGCGGUGUCACCCACCUCGCGCUGUGCUCCCAGCGAGUUAAGAACGGCGGAGGUCCAAGCACAGCUGCUGAGCUUCGCCCAGGCGUGCGCUACACAGACGGUGGCGCGGAAUCUCACGUACAUGACAGCCCCGUCCUCUCCCUCCUCCGCCUCCCCGCCGCCCAGCGCCCGACCUGAAGGGGUGCCACAGGGCGAAACCUUCGCGCACGGCAGCACCUUGCAUGUGCUUAAACAGCAGCAGCGGCAGGCGGAUCGGCUACAACGGGUAUUGCACUUCCUUCUCUCCGCCACCGGUCACCGGCCGCGCUUUCACGACCGGCUCUGGGGGGCCACCAACGACGCUGAAAGAGAGUUCAUCCGGAAGGCGCGCAGAGGGGCGGCGUCCACGGACACGAAGCCGGCCAAGCGGCGAAAUCCCCUGAGUCCGUCGUCGUCGCUUGCAGCGGCAGCGCCGCACUCGCCGCCAGCGCGGGUCCGCCCGAUGAGCUGGAUCGACGACCAAGAGACCUCUGUCAAGGUUCUUCUCUUUGACGACGACACGCGCUCCGUCGGCGACGCCGCAGCGGUGCAGGAGGAACGCUCCAAGUUGCUGGCGUCCAUCGCAAAGAACUGGCGCACCGCCUACGCUUCCCACUUCUACCCAUGCGUGGCGAACGGCAGUGAACCGGGAAGUCCUCUUCCGCGCUUCCCUGCGUCCAGCUUCCCCGUCUCCGCUACUGCAGCGGCGACAGCGGGUGGGGGAGCGGCGUCGCCUGUGCCCGAUGCCGAGCGCAGCCGCCGGGAGCAGCAGCUAAACGGAGGACACGUCACAUGGGAACAGGUGUACCGUCGUUUUCGGGACGGCAGCAGCGCCACCAUUCGUAGCACCGCGCGUAUGCAGCACCAGGCGGCGGCGCAGAGAGGAGAUGUGGGCAGCGACGACGACGACGCGGCCAUCCCCUCCUCGAGCAAUCCCCUCUUCGAUCUGCACCUGCUCGGCUACGAAAAGCGCAAGCAGGUGUACGCCGCAAUGCUGGCCAGCACCGUCGAGGUGCCGGAGGGCAUGGGCGCGUUCUUUGGCACGUGUGUCUCCGAGUCGUUCUUGCGAUGGUGGUGCUGGCGGAACCGACGACGCACGGAGGCAAGUCAGGCACUCGUGGCGCCGCCGGCCAACGCUGUCGGAGAUGAUCGCGGAAGGCUUCCAGUGCGACGCCACAUUGCGCUCGCUCCUUUUACCGCCGCCUGCGAUGACGCGUCGCCGCCGCGGUCGCUGUGGGUGGUGCGAGUGGCCGCCAGAGACCCACACGACGACAUCGGGAGAGGCGAGGCUGAGGACGAGUCCGUCACCUACAGCUCCUCGUAUUCGGACGUGAGCACGACGACGAGCAACACCAGCAGCCACACGCUUGCCUCGUCCUCCAUCCGCUUUUCGGAGGAAAGAGAGGAAGAGAACGAAUUCAGCACAGCAGAGGAUUCAAGCGAGCUCGAGACAGCCCACGCCGUGGCCGCGGAUGAAGAGCCACACGUCGCGACAGCAGAGGCAUCGUCUCCGUCACAGACACCGCCUACGCCGUCCUACCACCCGCCCGUAGCGGUGCUCUUCCCCCUUCCCCACAUGUUUACGUACUGGUUCAUGAUGCACCAUGUCUCCUUCUACAGUCACCAGGUAUACAGGCGCAUGUGGGGUGAUCAGGAACUCACCAUCGCCGUGUGGAGCCGUAUCCUCAGCCCCACAGGACACAGCGCUGAGUGUCGCCUCUUCUACUCGCUGCGAUGUGCAACGUUUCCGCGCAUGUUCACGAAAAUGAUGUUCACGCCUGGGGUGCUGCCAUCGCUGACGCUGCAGGGAAAGAUGUCGGAGCGCUCGCCGUACUGCUCCCCGUCGUCGUCGUCGGCAUACGACUCGCAGUCGUUAUCUGCUGAUGCCGACGGUAAUGCCGGCAGCACGCCCGGGUCGUCGUCCGCGUCGACGGGUGACAAACCGGUGGACAGUCGGCAAAUCUACGACCUCUUCUGGACCGGCUUUGGGCGUGUGGAGGUGGACUCUGGGCCGACCAUCUCACGGUCGAACAUGGUGCGCCUGCGCAUCGCGCUCGGGCUGCCGGUCGACUUUCCAAUGGGGCUUCUGUGGAAUGUGGUGAUGUUCGCCUCAGGCAUUGGCCCUCUCAUUCUUAAAGAGCACCGGCACUCUCUUCACUUCAACUACGCCAAGACAUUCACCGACGUCGUGGCGGACGAGUUCGGUGAGCUCGCGUGCUUCGGCCUCGGUGCCCAGUCGCCCAGCAGGAGGAACGACUCCACAGCGAUGGCGAACCCGCUCGAUGCAGAGGCGGUAAUGUGGGGGCGACACGCCGUAUCCGCAAUGGCACCCGCAGUGGGGCAGGGGCAGGUCGUACGAACCGCCGGCAACAAUCAAGAGACGCCCGAAGCUGACGAACAAGCGGUGAAUGAACUGGAUCCUGCACAUCACGACACCUCUUCCGACCCGACACCUCUCACGGGCAUCACAAACUGGUCGUGGGACCUGGACUCCGAGUUUAGCAGUGACGAGGCCUACUGGUCACUUCCCGGCAGCGACGUCUCCUCCGGAUACCAGUGACCCCCCCCUCCCGAACUUGAUGACGGCGCGCAUUGCAAUAGUGAGCUCAUAAGCACCGCUGAGUGAUACCUCUGUUUCACUGCCUUGUACCACGUCAAUCGUUUCGGUUUCGUGCGCAUGUAAGCAUCGGGAGAGGCGAGGGGGAAGCACCCCGUUGCGUGUAUGUGUGUGUGCGUGCCGCGUCAACGUGAUUGAAUGAGCUGGGGAGAGGGAAGAGGAAUCAGCGAGAGUGCGUAAAAGAUGGGUGAAGGGCCGGGGGGAGGCAACGAUGGGCGCGUCUGCGCGUCUUCUCCGUCAGUCCACCGCCCCCCCCCUCUCCCCUCCCGUCUACCUCAGGGCAGGCACAUAUCACCCAUGUCCUCCCCUCCCCAUCCGGCCACGCUUGCUUUACGUGCAAAAUGCUGCCCAAUUACCAGCGCAU